UACGGAGGAGGCAAGCGUUAUCCGGAAUUAUUGGGCGUAAAGAGUCCGUAGGUGGCCUUUCAAGUCUGCUGUUAAAGCGUGGAGCUUAACUCCAUAAAGGCAGUGGAAACUGAAAAGCUAGAGUUCGGUAGGGGUAGCGGGAAUUCCCAGUGUAGCGGUGAAAUGCGUAGAGAUUGGGAAGAACAUCGGUGGCGAAAGCGCGCUACUGGACCGAAACUGACGCUGAGGGACGAAAGCUAGGGGAGCGAAAGGG
rnacentral:rRNA from 1 species